rnacentral:rRNA from 1 species
CGCAACCCCUACGUUUAGUUGCUAACGCGUGAAGGCGAGCACUCUAGACGAACUGCCGUUGACAAAACGGAGGAAGGUGGGAUGACUCAAAUCAUCAUGCCCCUUAUGUUCUGGGCUACACACGUGCUACAAUGGCCGGUACAGACGGACGCAAAGCCGCGAGGUGGAGCAAAUCCUAAAAAGCCGGUCUCAGUUCGGAUUGCAGGCUGCAAUUCGCCUGCAUGAAGUCGGAAUCGCUAGUAAUCGCAGGUCAGCAUACUGCGGUGAAUACGUUCCCGGGCCUU